rnacentral:lncRNA from 1 species
GACCAAAUUUAACACUUUUAAUGGCCUUAAAUUUGACUAUUUUUAUUUAUCACUUUUUAAUACUUUUUAAAACCCCGCGGACACCCUGUAGCUGCAGACGCAGCCCCGAAAAACCACGCCCCCGACCAAACACGCCCCCAUGUGCCUGUUGAGCUCCCCCGAGCUCCCCUGGUGGUCAGAAAAGGGAAAUAUCUCAAUAACGGCAGCCCUCCCAGUCUGCAGCUAGGUAUUAUUGACAAAAGACGCCUGCAUGUUCGAAGACAAGAGAACUCGCAUGCGUGUUGCAACACCAGAUGGAAAUGACAGUUCAGGUAAAGACAGAUUUAUAUUUUUACAACUUGCGAAGAUUUUUUACUUUAAAUUUGAACGUUUAAGACAUAGUUUGAUAGCGCAUUAGUGAUUUUUUUCUGAAACACUUUUAUAUAAAAUUAAGCAUUAUUGGCAGUGGGGGAAGACAUCAUGGACGCAAAAUAUUUUUUAUAUAAUUUUUAAUGGGCUACAUGCAAGCCUUUUGGCCAAAACAAACGUAACAAUAGGCUAUUUAUUUGACCAUUUAUGACUCCUCAUCUAAUAAGCAGCAAACUCACGACGGCAAUGUGGUAGGCCAAAAAUUGUCGCACUCAGACGUGUAAAAUUUGUUAAAACAUGUAACAGAAAAUUCCCUUAAAAACCAUUCAGAUAUAUUUUUACAUGUCAACAUUUAAAUGUAUUAUAGUUUUUUUGACAAGUAGUUGCGUGUAUAGCAUCCAGUAAAUAUUAGUCUGAUGGUAACGUUUCGUAUUUAGGAUAAAAAGAAAAAGAAAACAUGAAAGCAGCACCAUGGUCAGUGACGACCUUACUCCUGCCUGUUUGAAAAUAGGUCACCACUUUCAGGGAUGGAAUGAUUCUGAGACAGCAGCAGUCCCACAAUUAUCAGUUGUUGUAUUUAGCUUUUCCAAUGUGUUUUGGUUGAUUUGUUGAUUUUAAAAAGCAGAGAGUUUGAUAUGUUGUCAACUUUCAAUAGUGGUGGUAUAAGAAGUGCAAAUGUCAGUCCUCUUUGGAUAACUGUAAAACAAACUGAUACAAUUAUUUGCUUUCCUCUGAGUCCACAGGACACCGACCAUGUGUAUUUUAAGACACCUUACAGCUUUCCACCCAGAGAGCAGGACAAUGACGGCAUGGACCAACACAACGUGGUCACCACAACCAGAGAUGUUGGGAUCCUGAGUAAAGACGUGUCUUACGACAGGCUUGUGGAAAGGGCUCAGCAAGCUGAAGACCAAAGAAGAGUCAGCAGGUGAUCUUCUUAUAUCAUUUAUCACUCAGGAUAAAGGCCUACUGCUACAUCUGGAAGUGAGUUUGAAAUUUAUAAUUAAAUUUGCACACUGUAACUAAUUUCAGUCAAAACAUGACUUAUGAAUUAUUCAAGUGAAACAUGUUCUGCUAACCUAGUGUUUGGACAUUUACUUUGAGCAUCCUCCAAAAAUAUCUCUAUUUACAGGCAAUCAUCGCAGGAAAAGUGUCAUCCACCUGGGCUUCAUCAAAGGGCAGGGUGGACAGCUGGACAGAGUGAUGGGCUUCUUGACAAGCCUGGUUGAAGCACAGACAACCAGAUGUCACAAUCAAGUGGCAUUCAUGAUGGAUGUGCUUCUGCCAGAGGUACAUGCUGAAAAUGUUUAUGUAUCACAUGAAAAUAUUUUGUAGCAGUACUGUUGUCAGUCUAUAACUCAUGGAUAAUAUCUUGUUACCUGCAACAUGACAGACUAAUGUCUACAUGAAAGAUGUCCUUUUGUUCACCUCAUUACUCAGGCAACCAUCCAUGCGCUUUCAGCUGUCCAUGAAUGUUGACGGACAAAGACACAGAAAUGUACGGCAGUGGGCUGCAGUAUGACUGGAGGUAUUCUACAAACACAAGAACAGGGCUAAUGUCUAUAUGUAUUGUUUUCACAUUGUUUAUGACAGCCUCUAGGUGUGAAUGUCAUUUUUACUAGGGAUGUAAGAAAAUAUCGAUAUGGCAAUAUAUCGUGAUAAUUUUUCCAGCAAUAUUAUAUCGAUAUUCAAAAGCCGUUAUCGAAAAUAUUGAUAUGGCAAUAUAUCGUGAUUUUUUCCCUGCGAUUAUUACAUCGAUAUUCAAAAGCCGUGUAUCUAAUCUUUGAAAGAAUUUACAUGCAAACAUUUGUGUAUUUACUUUUCGUUUGGUGCAAUUCAAUCGCCACCCGCUAGUUGGCAGCAGUGUGCAACGGGUUUUGUUUCCACCAUUUAAAAUGUAAAUCCCUCCAUCAUGGGUCAGAUACCUCAUGUUAAACAUGUUACGUAUCAGUUUGGACAGUUUAUUGAACAUUCUUACAAUAAAUUCAGUAAAAAAAAUUGCUUGUAACGUCUGACUGAAUGUAUUGCAAUAUAUCGUGAUAUAUCGUAUCGUCUCCCCUGUAUCGUGAUAUGUAUCGUAUUGUCAGAAUUUCAACGAUACACAUCCCUGAUUUUUACUAAUUGAUAUUUAUCUUUGUCUCAUUAGUGAGAGGCAGCUGAUGUCCAAUGGCAUGGAACUGCUCAUAUACUCAGAGAAAUUCAGAAAAGUUCUGGACUCAACUGAAUUUUUGAAGAGGCUGUAGUAUUGUGUUGACUUUUUUUUUUUUGAAGGUAUUUGUAAGGCCAAUAAAAGUUGUUGCUGGUUGUUUCAUUUGUCUGAACUUUUUUUCUGAAGCAAAACUUUUCUGCUUUUGUGUUUACAGUAUAUUUUUUAAAGAUUAGUGUAUGGUCAAUAUCAGUUUACUAGUCUUGUGAAUUGUAUACUUAAUGCAAAAUAUUUUAGUAAUUUCUAAAUCAAUACAUUUUGUGUCAAAGGGCCAGCAAUUAUUCCUGUUAACAGAAUAUAUGAAAUGCAUAUAUACACAUGUAAAUAUGCCUAAAAAUUACACAUCAGCAGCUUUUCACUGUAAAGAAGCAAUAAAAAAUCAUAAAUAGUGACAUAAAUAUUAACUACUCACUCGUAUUGACUUAGACCCACUGUUAGUGCCUGUAAUAACAAAUGUUUGAAAGUUAAAUGUUGCUGUAGGAAGCGUGCUCCCACAUAAAUGGAGGCUAGUGGGCUUAAGGGGUUAAUUAAAACUAUUACCACUAAUUACUUUUUCUGAUAUUUUAUCUUAUUGCAUUUAAAAUAAACACUUGCACAUACAUUACUCACCUGCUAACUUAAGUAAGCAUAGGUAUGUUGCGCCUAUUGUCCGGCAACUGAUUAUUUGUUGGUGGUAUCUGUGUUUUAUAAUCCCACUGGGGAUGGCCAAAAAGUGUGUAUGCAAGAAAAAAAAUCCAUGCAUUCAUAUUUAAAUCUGGAGUCCUGUCUGUUUAAUUACAUUGUUACUAUUUCUGUAUAAACGUAUUAUUUCAAUUGUAUUGUUCGCAUUGAAAGGCGUUUGACAAAAAGGAAAUUGUUUAGGGGGCUUGAGGCUGGGUGCUGC